CCUACGGGUGGCAGCAGUAGGGAAUCUUCCACAAUGGACGAAAGUCUGAUGGAGCAACGCCGCGUGAGUGAAGAAGGGUUUCGGCUCGUAAAGCUCUGUCGGCAGUGACGAAAGAUAGAGGUAGUAACUAGCCUUUAUUUGACGGUACUUACUUAGCAAGUAACGGCUAACUACGUGCCAGCAGCCGCGGUAAUACGUAGGGUGCGAGCGUUGUCCGGAUUUAUUGGGCGUAAAGCGAGUGCAGGCGGUUCAAUAAGUCUGAUGUGAAAGCCUUGGGCUCAACCUGAGAAUUGCAUUAGAAACUGUUGAACUUGAGUGCAGAAGAGGAGAGUGGAACUCCAGGUGUAGCAGUGGAAUGCGUAGAUAUAUGGAAGAACACCAGUGGCGAAGGCGACUCUCUGGUCUGCAACUGACGCUGAGGCGCGAAAGCAUGGGUAGCGAACAGGAUUAGAUACCCUAGUAGUC
rnacentral:rRNA from 1 species